UACGGAGGAUCCAAGCGUUAUCCGGAUUUAUUGGGUUUAAAGGGUGCGUAGGCGGCCCGGUAAGUUAGAGGUGAAAGCCCGUGGCUCAACCACGGAAUUGCCUCUGAUACUGUCGGGCUAGAGAAUAGUUGCUGUGGGCGGAAUGUGUAGUGUAGCGGUGAAAUGCUUAGAGAUUACACAGAACACCGAUUGCGAAGGCAGCUCACAAAGCUAUUUCUGACGCUGAGGCACGAAAGCGUGGGGAGCAAACAGGAUUAGAUACCCU
rnacentral:rRNA from 1 species